rnacentral:lncRNA from 10 species
UUUAGUGAAAAAUACACCUUUCUCCAGAUACAUAUUCCUUUAUCUGGGAAAUAUAGAUGGAAUCAGUGAUAUACCUGUUGCUGAGCACAUUAUUAUAUCAUUAAUGCUUAUAUAUUUCAAAUUAUAUGCAUAUUCUCUCCAGAGUGAUUAGAUCCCUUCUACAGUUAGGGUAAUGAAGGCUUUAUUUGCCUGAGGGGACACAGGGAACCAUUUAGGAGAGUGAGGCAAUUAAGCAAUUAUAUAACAUUUUGAAAACAUUCAAUACUUCCCACCAUUUGAUUUGUACUUCUGGAGAACUGCUUUUCUCAUACUAGCUGGUUAGAAUAGUAAAAAUCCUCACACCCUCCCCUCCCAUCUGUCAUUUUUUUUGGUCAUGAAAUUAUACCUCAUUUUACAAAAUGCAUUUUUCUGAGAAACUAAUGCUUACAUUGAAUUUUGCAAGUUUAAUAAUUAAGGAUUGGAAUGUUUUAUUUAAAAUAAUUAAGAUUAUUUUUUAAAAGUAUCACGUGUGAAAGUAAUUAUCACCCCCAAAUUGUAUUUUGCAAAUUGUGCCUAUUUUAUCACUACUAUACAUUUAGGACGAAAAGAAAAAAAGUUGGGGGUGGAUAAUCUAUCAUAAUACAAAAAGAAAAACUCUUGAGUCAGUGUUACUUUUCAUUGGGGAAAAGGCAGGUGGGAAAAAUAGAUAAAUACAAGUUAGAGUUAAUCCUAAAAUCUCAUUACAGCUUAAAAUAUCAAUCUCUAGAAAUACAAAACAUUUGCCAAAAUAAUUGUUAAUAUGUGCAACACUACCCAAAUUAAAAAAUGCAAUUCUCCCUUCUGCUAGUCCUCCUUCUGUACCAAUAUAAUUAGCAAUAAAAUUGAAGGCAACAAAAAUAAGAAAAGACAUAAUGAUCCUGGAAAAUCUACAAAAUGGAUUAUCAUUUUCUAACAAUUGUUAAUACACUGUGUUUUUUAUGUGGUGGUGUGAUAACAUUUUUUUCUUGCUUUCUUGUAAGUUAGGUACUGUGCUAUAUUUAUCUUUGACAGGGCACCUAGCAUCUGAUAGAAAUUCUAAACAGCAAAUGGUAGUAUGAUAUUUUUAUUAUCUAUGCCUCUUAAAACUCUGGCCAAUAGCAAGUAACACCAUUUCCACCUCCCAGAGGAGAAAGAUAAACACAAAAGGAGCUUAAGUGGAUAAAUCACAUAGCAUGGACACAGAAUCUUUUCUAAAUAAAUAACCUAUUAAAAUAGAAGUUGGCAGUCUUAUAAAAAGAAAAUAAAAGUUCUGAUGAGGAAACCUGGGUUGUUUCUCAGCUCUAACUACAAAAAUAAACAUCCUUGAGAAAUUGCUGAACCUCCUUGUUCUUGCUUAAUGUAAAAUGAGAGGGCAAGAUUAAAUGAUCUCAAAGCUCCCUUUCAGUUCAGGGACUGUGAAAUAAUAUGGUAAAUAGGCUUACUUAGGACCUUCUCGGGCACUAGCACUUUAAGAGUUUUACGUGGAUUGUAUAAUCAUCAAAAUAAUCCUGCAUAAUAGACACCAUUGUUAGUUGCAUUUUAUGAAGAAAGUGAGGCUUAACCAUUGAAGUAUUUUACACAAUGUCAUGUGUUUAGGGAGCAGCCAAGGUGAAGUUUUCAACCAGGCCGACCAACUUCAGAGUCCACUGGCUUCAAAACAGUGCUUUACAUCCUCCUUCCAACAUUAUUCACAAGCCGAUCAAGACUGAGAGAGUCACAAGUGUGUGAAACCUGUAUUCUUUCUGACUUCAUUUUCCCUGGUCGAAAUUUUUGUAGAAUAGACAAAUCAAGAAUGAUGACUUCUUAAGAUGCAGUAUUCAAGUUCAGAAAUCUAUACUCAGAUGACCUUAUGUAGGUCAUCUGCUUCUGAGGUUUAUCUCACCAGUGGUCCCAGAAGGCUGCAUAUGGAACUGACCUGGACUUAAUCUACAAGAUAGAUACCCCCAGCUAACCUGCAAACUCACAGAGUGAUGAGUGAGAAAAUAAUGCUUCUUCUUCUGUGCCUAUGUGAUUUAGUGAUUCUGCUAUGCAACAAAAGUUAAUGUAAUUUUUUAAAGCAGAAGCUAUUGUAAAGAAACUGAGACCAAGAAUGGUUAAGUAAAGCAUCCUAAUUCACAUGAUUAUAGAACAAAAGAACUGGGACUCAAACUAAGGCCCUCUGAUUUCAAUACACAUGUUUUUAACUGUUAUGCCAUGCUGUCUCCAAGUAAGCAUAUUAUUAAUAUUAUUAUCAGGUACAAGAACAUAUUAUGUAGAAAAUGCCAGGGUUGUUCAGUGCUUCUUUUCAACAUUUCUGUUAUUAAUAGUUUAAUUUUCUCACUGUGCUCUUUAAGCUCCCUAUCUAUAAACCUGUUUUAUAUGUGUGUGUCUGUACAUGUACAUGCAAGUAACAACGAAUAAAAUUUUGAAAUUUUAUAAAGAACAUAAUUUCGGCCGGG